rnacentral:rRNA from 1 species
UACAGAGGGUGCUAACGUUGUUCGGAAUCACUGGGCAUAAAGCGCACGUAGGCGGCUUGGUAAGUGCGGUGUGAAAGCCCCCGGCCUAACCGGGGAACUGCAUCGCAGACUGCCAGGCUCGAGAGCGGGAGGGGAGACUGGAACUCCUGGUGGAGCGGUGAAAUGCGUAGAUAUCUGGAGGAACACCGGUGGCGAAAGCGGCUCACUGGAUCGAUACUGACGCUGAGGUGCGAAAGCUAGGGUAGCAAACGGG